rnacentral:rRNA from 1 species
AACGAACGCUGGCGGCAUGCCUUACACAUGCAAGUCGAACGGCAGCACGGGGGCAACCCUGGUGGCGAGUGGCGAACGGGUGAGUAACAUAUCGGAACAUACCCUAGAGUGGGGGAUAACGUAGCGAAAGUUACGCUAAUACCGCAUACGAUCUAAGGAUGAAAGUGGGGGAUCUUCGGACCUCAUGCUCAUGGAGUGGCCGAUAUCUGAUUAGCUAGUUGGUGAGGUAAAGGCUCACCAAGGCGACGAUCAGUAGCUGGUUUGAGAGAACGACCAGCCACACUGGAACUGAGACACGGUCCAGACUCCUACGGGAGGCAGCAGUGGGGAAUUUUGGACAAUGGGGGCAACCCUGAUCCAGCAAUGCCGCGUGAGUGAAGAAGGCCUUCGGGUUGGUUAAAGUACGUCUUUUGUUCUAGGGAAGGAAACGGGUAGG